GACGAACCGUGCAAACGUUAUUCGGAAUCACUGGGCUUAAAGCGCGUGUAGGCGGGACGGCACGUCGGUCGCUGAAAGCCCCCGGCUCAACCGGGGAAUGGGCGCCGAUACGACCGUCCUGGAGGAACGUAGGGGGACCUGGAACUUCCGGUGGAGCGGUGAAAUGCGUUGAGAUCGGAAGGAACGCCCGUGGCGAAAGCGAGGUCCUGGACGUUUUCUGACGCUGAGACGCGAAAGCCAGGGGAGCGAACGGG
rnacentral:rRNA from 1 species